rnacentral:tRNA from 1 species
GCCAGCAUGGUGUAGUGGUUUGAGCAUGGGACAACUACUCUAGAGACCAGGGUUCAAAUCCCUGCUGGAA